CACAAUGGGACGUGCGUGACCGAAAACACGGUUAUAAAAAGCUGCCGUGACCAAAGACUCUCUCAAAGAAGAGUCCCUUGAUCUCUCCACCCCUUGUCCUCUGCAGACCCUUGCUCUUUCUCCCCCUUGUUCUCCUCCUUUUCUCCGUCACCUCAGUCCACCUGAAGCUUCCCCUCUGCCCCCAGCAUGCCUGGAGCCUCCACCGCAGCCAGCAGCUUAACCAACAUGGACAUCAUCACAGAGAACGGGCCUGAUCACCCAUCUACUCGCUCGCACGCAACGCCGGACCUUCUCACUAGGAUUGAGCAACCUAAGGCUGUUAAAGCCAAUGCAUCUUGUCUUGGAAGCUCGGUGUUCCUUCCUUUGGAUAACAAGACAUCAUGAUGCAGAAGUGAGAAAGCAAACAUUCUCACUCACAGCAAGAUAAGGUGGCACAAACAAUUCUAUUGGUGCAGAGACAUUCCACCAGAAGCAACUUGAAGACUGUGGGCUCUUUGCAUCACACCUUCGUGGUGUGUGCACUGAUCUCCCCAGCUGGUUUUUGGUUUGUUUAUGUGCACAAUCAACAUCCAUGCUUUUUAUUUGCUUUCCAUUAUUUUUAUUUUCUUUUUAUUAUUUCAAUAAAUCACACAAAAGGACAACUCUCUCAUCUGCCUUUUUAUGGGAAAUUUCCACCACAGCCAGUGAAUAAGACGCCACGCCCCAGAGUCCUCAUCGACUACAGACCCGUGGCUCUGACCUCUCACAUCAUGAAAGCUUUUGAGAGGCUGAUCCUGGACUCCCUGGGUUCUCUGGUCAAACCCUCAGUCAACCCCCUCCAGUUUGCAUAUCAACCCCAACUAAUGGAUGAUGCCAUCAUACAUCUGCUUCAUUGCACCUACAACCACCUAGACAAGCUUGGUGCCUCAGUAAGGAUCAUGUUCUUUGUGUCACAGAGUACCAGGGAGAGGUGGACAGCUUUGUGAACUGGUGUGGAAAGAACCACCUCCAACUAAACAUCAGUAAAACCAAGCUGAUGAUUGACUUUAGGAAAUCUGGGAGUCCUGUCACCCCUCUCACUAUUAAAAAUGAAGGUGUGGCGGUCGUGACAGAGUACAAAUACCUGGGAGUGUACUAGGACAAUAAACUGUACUGGAAAAAGAACUCCUCAGCUCUGUACAAGAAGGCUUAGAGCAGGAUGUACUUCCUGGGGAGGCUCAGGUUCUUUAACGUCUGCAGCUCCAUGCUGAGGAUGUUCUAUGAGUCUGUGGUGGCCAGUGUAGUGUUUUACACUGUGGUCUGACAGACAGUAACAGACUGGACAAAGUGAUCAGGAGGGCUGGUUCUGUUCUGGGGUUUGAGCUGGACCCCCUACAUGCUGUAGCUGAGAGGAGGAUGCUGGUCCAACUCCUCUCUAUCCUAAACAACACCUCCCACCCCCUACACAGUGUGCUGGCUGGAAAGAGGAGCACCUUCAGCCAGAGGCUGAUCAGUAUUAGGUGGUCCACAAAACGCCACCAGAGAUCCUUCCUACCGGUGCCAUCAGUCUGUACAACUCCUCCUGUCUGUAAGGGUUAAUCUUCAUCCAUGCAAUAACAUGUAUAAUAAAACUUUAGCUAGUAAUUAGAUGUAAUUAGACAAUAGUAAUUAGACUUGAUGUGAGUGAGAACUCAGAACAAAAGUCAGGACAAAAAGGACUGGACUGCUCCUGAGUGCUCCAAAGUUAUGUUCUCUGAAUCCAUUCUUUGUAUUGGUAUUAAGUAAUAUUCUAAUUUUCUGAGAUACUGAAUUUAGGGUUUUCAUUAGUUGUCAGUUAUAAUCCUGACUAAAUCCUCAUUAAAGAAAGAAAUAUUUGAAA